rnacentral:rRNA from 1 species
UGGUUUGUUAGGUGUCCGGGGGUCUUGGUUUUGGAGGGGGAUAACCUCUGAAAACUGUGGCUAAUACCGAAUAACCUCGCAAGACCAAAGAGGGAGACUUUUAGGCAUCUCACUAUCGGAUGAACCCAGAUGGGAUUAGCUAGUACGCGGGGUAACGGCCCACCUAGGCGACGAUCCCUAUCUGGUCUGAGAGGAUGACCACCCACACUGGAACUGACACACGGUCCACACUCCUACGGGAGGCAGCAGUGGGGAAUAUUGCACAAUGGGCGCAAGCCUGAUGCACCCAUGCCGCGUGUAUGAAAAAGGCCUUCGGGUUGUAAAGUACUUUCAGCGGGGAGGAAGGCGAUGUGGUUAAUAACCGCAUUGAUUGACGUUACCCGCAAAAAAAGCACCGGCUAACUCCGUGCCAGCAGCCGCGGUAAUACGGAGGGUGCAAGCGUUAAUCGGAAUUACUGGGCGUAAAGCGCACGCACGCGGUCUGUUAACUCAUAUGUGAAAUCCCCGGGCUUAACCUGGGAACUGCAUUUGAAACUGGCACGCUUGACUCUCGUAGAGGGGGGUAGAAUUCCGUGUGU